rnacentral:rRNA from 1 species
AACGAACGCUGGCGGCAGGCCUAACACAUGCCAGUCGAGCGCGCCUUCGGGUGCGCGGCGGACGGGUGAGUAACGCGUGGGAAUAUGCCCUUCUCUACGGAAUAGUCCUGGGAAACUGGGGGUAAUACCGUAUACGCCCUUUGGGGGAAAGAUUUAUCGGGGAAGGAUUAGCCCGCGUUGGAUUAGGUAGUUGGUGGGGUAAUGGCCUACCAAGCCGACGAUCCAUAGCUGGUUUGAGAGGAUGAUCAGCCACACUGGGACUGAGACACGGCCCAGACUCCUACGGGAGGCAGCAGUGGGGAAUCUUAGACAAUGGGGGCAACCCUGAUCUAGCCAUGCCGCGUGAGUGAUGAAGGCCUUAGGGUUGUAAAGCUCUUUCAGCUGGGAAGAUAAUGACGGUACCAGCAGAAGAAGCCCCGGCUAACUCCGUG